rnacentral:rRNA from 1 species
UACCAGCUCUCCGAGUGGUAGGGAUGAUUAUUGGGCUUAAAGCGUCCGUAGCCGGCUUAGCAAGUUUCCUGUUAACCCAGCGACUCAAUCGUUGGAUCGCGGGAAAUACUACUAGGCUAGGAGGCGGGAGAGGUCAACGGUACUUCUGGGGUAGGGGUGAAAUCCUAUAAUCCCGGGAGGACCACCAGUGGCGAAGGCUGUUGACUAGAACGCGCUCGACAGUGAGGGACGAAAGCUGGGGUAGCAAACCGGAUUAGAUACCCGGGUAGUCCCAGCUGUAAACGAUGCGAGCUAGGUGUUGGGAUGGCUACGGGCCAUUUCAGUGCCGCAGGGAAGCCAUUAAGCUCGCCGCCUGGGGAGUACGGCCGCAAGGCUGAAACUUAAGGAAUUGGCGGGGGAGCACCACAAGGCGUGAAGCUUGCGGUUC